UCCAACACCAUUUUCAUGUCAAGUUCAUGAAAAUCAAUUUUUUUCAUGUGAUUUUCCUUUUUUCUUCUCAUUUCCUUUUUUUUCUUAAUUCUUUCUUCUCUAAACUUCUUAGGCACUAAACCUGAAGCUUUUAACCCCAAUUUCCAGUACAUCUAAACCCUAGGAGAGGAAGAAAGAAAAAGAGAGAAAGGAAGAAAAAGCUUGGUUUUGUAAUUCAGGCAAGCUAAGCUAUGGUGGCCAUGGGUGUGAGGGAAUUAUGAAUUUUUUUGGGUGAAAUCCAAGCUAAAACUAAGUGGUUUCCUGAGUUAAAGGUGAUUGGAUCCUAGGACAAGGUGC